rnacentral:ncRNA from 1 species
AGUUUUUGAGGACGGAACAGUUGACCGUCACCCUUGGCUAGGAGAUGUGGAAAGGUCACUCCACCUAAACUU